rnacentral:rRNA from 1 species
UACGGAGGGGGCAAGCGUUAUUCGGAAUUAUUGGGCGUAAAGGGCGCGUAGGCGGCUAGAUGUGUCAAAGGUGAAAUCCCUCGGCUCAACUGAGGAACUGCCUUUGAAACUGUCUGGCUUGAGGCCGGGAGAGGGUAGCGGAAUUCCCAGUGUAGCGGUGAAAUGCGUAGAUAUUGGGAGGAACACCAGUGGCGAAGGCGGCUACCUGGACCGGUUCUGACGCUGAGGAGCGAAAGCGUGGGGAGCGAACAGG